rnacentral:rRNA from 1 species
CAGUUAGGGACCGGCGCGCCUAUAUACAUGCAAGUCGAGCGAGAACGUGUAACAAUACACUUGUAAAGCGGCGAACGGGUGAGGAUUCCAACAUGGGUAAUCUACCAUCGAGUGGGGAAUAACCAGCCGAAAGGUUGGCUAAUACCCAGCGUACGCCUCCGGAUCUUCGGGUUCGGAGGGAAAGCUGCACUGUGAGUGUAUGCGCUCUUAUGAUGAGCUCAUGUCCUAUCAGCUUGUUGGUAGGGUAACGGCCUACCAAGGCUUUGACGGGUAGCUGGUCUGAGAGGACGAUCAGCCACACUGGCACUGCGACACGGGCCAGACUCCUAAUGGGCCGCAGCAGUAAGGAAUAUUGCGCAAUGGGCGAAAGCCUGACGCAGCGACGCCGCGUGGGGGAUGAAGGUCUUCGGAUUGUAAACCCCUUUCGGGAGGGAAGAUGGAGCGAGCAAUCGUUCGGACGGUACCUCCAGAAGCAGCCACGGCCAACUUCGUGCCAGCAGCCGCGGUAAUACGAUAUGGUCCAGCAAGCGCUGUUCGGAUUCACUGGGCGUACAGGGUGUGUAGGCGGUUUGGCAGAAGCCUUCUGUUAAAGCUUCGGGCCAUUACCCGGAAAGCGCAGAGGGUACUGCCAAGGAUAGAGGUAUGGGUUAGGACCACGGAACUUAGGGGUGUAGCGGUGAAAUGCGUAGAGAUCGGGAGGAAGGCCGGUGGCGAAGGCGGCGCUCUGGAACACACCUGACGCUGAGACACGAAAGCGUGGGGAGCAAACAGGAUUAGAUACCCUGGUAGUCCACGCCCUAAACUAUGGAUACUAAGUGUCGGCGGGUUACCGCCGGUGCCGCAGCUAACGCAUUAAGUAUCCCGCCUGGGAAGUACGGCCGCAAGGUUGAAACUCAAAGGAAUUGACGGGGGCCCGCACAAGCGGUGGAGCAUGUGGUUUAAUUCGACGCAACGCGAAGAACCUUACCCAUUGGUUGGACAUGCACGUAGUAGGAAGGUGAAAGCCUGACGAGGUAGCAAUACCAGCGUGCUCAGGUGCUGCAUGGCUGUCGUCAGCUCGUGCCGUGAGGUGUUGGGUUAAGUCCCGCAAUAUGAGCGCAACCCCUGCUUUCAGUUGCUACCGGGUCAUGCCGAGCACUCUGAAAGGACUGCCCAGGAUAACGGGGAGGAAGGUGGGGAUGACGUCAACCCCAGCAACAUUUCUUUAUGCCUGGAUGAUUACACACACGUGCUACAAUGGCCGGUACAAAGCGCUGCAAACCUGCAAGGGGGAGCCAAUCGCUAGGCCAAAACCGGCCUCAGUUCAGAUUGAUUAGUCUGCAACUCGACCUCAUGAAUUACCCGGAAUCGCUAGUUAUCGCGGAUCAGCACGCCGCGGUAAAAUACAUUCAGAGGCCCGGGCCUUAUCCGCCCCCAUUAGAAAGCCCUGAAGUCGCCCAAGCCAACCGCAAGGAGGCAGGCGCCCACGGUAUGGAU